rnacentral:rRNA from 1 species
UACAAAGGUUCCAAGCGUUAUUCGGAAUCACUGGGCGUAAAGCGCGUGUAGGCGGUCUGGAAAGUCAGAGGUGAAAGCCCAGAGCUUAACUCUGGAAUUGCCUUUGAAACUCCCAGACUUGAAUUCGGUAGAGGAUAGUGGAAUUCCUAGUGUAGAGGUGAAAUUCGUAGAUAUUCGGAGGAACACCGGUGGCGAAGGCGGCUCACUGGCUCGGUACUGACGCUGAGGUGCGAAAGCGUGGGGAGCAAACAGG